UGAACGCUGGCGGCAGGCCUAACACAUGCAAGUCGACCGGUAACAGGAAGAAGCUUGCUUCUUUGCUGACGAGUGGCGGACGGGUGAGUAAUGUCUGGGAAACUGCCUGAUGGAGGGGGAUAACUACUGGAAACGGUAGCUAAUACCGCAUAACGUCGCAAGACCAAAGAGGGGGACCUUCGGGCCUCUUGCCAUCGGAUGUGCCCAGAUGGGAUUAGCUAGUAGGUGGGGUAACGGCUCACCUAGGCGACGAUCCCUAGCUGGUCUGAGAGGAUGACCAGCCACACUGGAACUGAGACACGGUCCAGACUCCUACGGGAGGCAGCAGUGGGGAAUAUUGCACAAUGGGCGCAAGCCUGAUGCAGCCAUGCCGCGUGUAUGAAGAAGGCCUUCGGGUUGUAAAGUACUUUCAGCGGGGAGGAAGGGAGUAAAGUUAAUACCUUUACUCAUUGACGUUACCCGCAGAAGAAGCACCGGCUAACUCCGUG
rnacentral:rRNA from 1 species